UACGGGGGGGGCAAGCGUUGUUCGGAAUUACUGGGCGUAAAGGGCUCGUAGGCGGCCAACUAAGUCGGACGUGAAAUCCCCAGGCUCAACCUGGGAACUGCGUCUGAUACUGGCGGGCUUGAAUUCGGGAGAGGGAUGUGGAAUUCCAGGUGUAGCGGUGAAAUGCGUAGAUAUCUGGAGGAACACCGGUGGCGAAGGCGGCAUCCUGGACCGACAUUGACGCUGAGGCGCGAAAGCCAGGGGAGCAAACGGG
rnacentral:rRNA from 1 species